GACGAACGCUGGCGGCGUGCUUAACACAUGCAAGUCGAACGGUGAAGCGCCUUCCUUUUUGGUGGGUGUGGAUGAGUGGCGAACAGGUGAGUAACACGUCAGUAACCUGCCCCCUACUUCUGGAUAACCGCAUGAAAGUGUGGCUAACACAGGAUAUUCUGGGCCUGUCUCAUGAUGGGUCUGGGUAAGUUAUUGUUUCGGUGGGGGAUGGGCUAGCGGCCUAUCAGUUUGGUGGUGGGGUGAUGGCUUAGCAAGGCUGGGACGGGUAGCCGGCCUGGGCGGGUGGACGGUCACGCUGGGGCUGAGGCACGGCCCCGACUGGUACGGGAGGCAGCAGAGGGGAAUAUUGCACGAUGGGGGGGAGACUGUUGCAGCGACGCCGCGUGAGUGAUGGAGCCCUGCGGGUUGUGAGCCUCUUUCGUUAGUGAAGCAGGGCUGCCUUGUUUGUGGGUGGGUUGACGGUAGCUGGAGAAGAAGCGCCGGCUAACUACGUG
rnacentral:rRNA from 1 species